UUACAUUACACCAUGGUUGAGAUGGUAUGGUGCUCGGUGUAGUUAAAAGUUGUUUGAUUGAAUAGUCUAAUAUGGAAUCAAGUUAGACUUUAGAUAUAAAGAGAUAAAAAAGUUAAAUAAAUAGUUUGUUUUAAUAAGUAAACGGACGAAAACGAUGCAACGGUGUGUUGGUAGGCUUGUCACCUGCAGCACUUCGCACGCGGCAAGGAUCUUUUGACGGCUCGUGUUGACGUCUCGUGGAAAGCGAGCAUUUUCGCUCUAAACUCUCUCUCCCACGAGUUGUGACGCAAACCAGGGAAAAGCACCACACAAGUGAGAAAGAGAGCGUAUAUAACAGAUAUGAACUCUUGCCGCCUGUCCGUACAGAACAGCUGAACUGUCAAAAAGUCUGCGCCUAUAUUGGUGCUUUCGAUACGAGCAAAGCCUGUGAGUGUGCGUGCGUGAGAUAGGCUGCAAAAGAAGCUUUCAGCAGCUGCUGGGAACUGCGCAGACACUCUCGCUGGUGCUGAAAGUUUAUUCCUCUCCUAUUCCGCACAGUGGCGCCACCUGGUGGCGGGUACUGGAACCAACGCGUCUAUCCAUCGCAUCCUUGCAAACGCGAAACCAUCCUGCACAUGUGCCGCUCUUACAUCUGCGAACGAUUUUUUGUUCCUUUGAGCAAAAGGUUACGCUCUCUCUCUCUCUCUCCCGUUCGCUCCCAUUCCGAGUGCCUUGCGACCGACCAACACCAGUGAACGCGCUUCCAAUCGCUUUCGCAACGUCCGCAACGUGGGACCGCGCUUGUGUGUGUGUAUGUGUGAGCGUGUAAACGUCAGCGGAAAACUUUCCAAAGCGCACCCCGUGCGUAGAGCUGCAGUCCAAGCGCCAGUCUCUCAGCGACACAGUGUCGGGGCAGUUGUUACUAGCGGAACAGAGGGAAGAAAAUCCUCCCAGACCCAGAGUCCAAACCAGAAACCUACACCUACAACCCAGCCCAGUCAACCGAGCUCUAGUGGCAGCAGUGUGUAGUCCGGGAUACAAACAUAUUCCCUUCGUCUGGUGUUGUGCGGGAUAAAGUAAAGCUACCAACCCUCUCAAGUCAAGUCAAAAAUCAGUUCCCAGCAGGACGGUGUGCUCCGGUGAUUCUGUACCCUAUUUCAGAAGCUCUCUUGAAGCUUGCAAGUGUUGCGCGAGGCUCUGUGCUGUGUGUUUUUGUGUGCUUUCGGUAGUGAUAAAUAAUUGCAGCCUGUCUGGUUUCUGAAGUGAACCGUUAGCAACGGCCGUGUGGGUUUGUUGUGCUUGUGUGAGAGUGUGAAAUAGUGGUUGCUUUCCAAGAAAUAACCACACAAUUGCUGGAAGAAGCCGCAAAGCAGCAUUAUUCAAGCUGGUUUGCAGUGUAGUGCGACAAAAAAGAAAAGAAAUCGUGUGAAAUCAUUACAGAGUGAGCUGGUGUUGCUGGUAACCACGUGCUAAAGGGUGUAACCUGUAAAGGGUGUAAGCAAGUCCAACAGGAGUAGUCACCAUGGCCUGGGGAUACUGGAGCGCAACGGCGGUCGAUCGUGGCCGAUCACCGCGGCGCAAUACACAGUUGCCGCAGACCCAGUAUCAGGCCCAAGGCUACCAGCAGCCAGUACAGCAGCAGCAGCAGCAGCAGCAGCAGCAACACCAUCACCAACAGCAGCAGUACAGUCUGGCGUCGAGCCAAUCGCAGCAACCGUCGAUGCACUGCAGUGCCCUUUCGCUCAACACCUGUCCGCAGGCGGUCGAGCUACCGUCGAUCCAGCAGCAGCAGCUCAUCUGCAGCAACGGCUCCCAGCCGUCGCUGCACCACCAGCAGCAACAGCAACAGCAGCAAAUCUGCUCCAGCCCGUGCCACAGUCCCUGUCACAGUCCGCAGUUUAUCGAGCAGCUACCGCCGGAGCUGCCCUGCACACCCUGUACCUUCUCGCGUAGACAGUCACUUGAUAGUCCACAGGUAGAUCGAUGCCAAUCGCUCGCACUGCUGGGGUGUGCCGAGGCGAAUCAGCUGUCGGAUAUCAUCUGCCGGGCGACGCAGCCUUCGAUACAGUCGGCGGGCAACACGCUGACCCGCGGGACGUCGUUGCGCGACACCGGCGACUACGCGGUACCUCAUCCACACCCUCACACGCACCACUACAUGUCAACGUCGGCGACGCCGCCCUCGCUGAGCCGCGUCGGCUCCUGUCCGGGCUCGACCGGUGGUUCGGGGUCGGGCCAUGGGUCCGGGUCCGGUUCCAGCCCGGGCGGUGGCCCCGGGAGUGGCGGCGGCGGUAGUGGCAGCGUGGGAGGCGGCGGAGGUGUUGGUAGUGGGGUUAGCAUUUGCGGGGGCAGCAUACUGGGCGGCAGCCAGGGCCGGCUAGAGUACAUCGAGUGCUCGCACUACGAUCGGAUGCCGCUGCCGAUCCCGGUCCAGAUACCGAUCGUGCCGCCGCCGCAGCUACACUCGGAGGACGAAAUCGAACCGGCGUACGCUACAGUAUUUCCAAAUGUGCCGUCUGCUCCGGGAUUGUCCUGCGUCGGUGAAGACCGUAGCAUCUACCGAAGAGGAGCCAGAAGAUGGCGCAAGCUGUACCGGAUAAAUGGACACAUCUUCCAAGCGAAGCGAUUCAAUCGAAAAGCCUUCUGCGCCUUUUGCCACGACCGUAUCUGGGGUCUGGGCCGGCAGGGAUUCAAGUGCAUCCAGUGUAAGCUGCUGGUGCACAAAAAGUGCCACAAGCUUGGCAAUAAACCGUGUAGCAACGAGCAUGUCGAACCAGUCUUCAAGGAGCGCGAUCACCAUGACCCGAAUGAUGAAUCGAGUACCGGUGACGUCAUUCAGGCUCCGUUGGACUAUCCGUCCGAGCUGCACUCGGGCGACGGCUGCGACCAGGUACCGGUCGAGGUGAAUGACAACGUGGAGGAAACGCUGGAACCCGUCACCCAGCGGCAGUACUCGCUGAACGAUUUCGAACUGAUCCGAGUGAUCGGCCGUGGCAGCUACGCAAAGGUAUUGAUGGUGGAGCUGAAGAAGACGCGCCGUAUUUACGCGAUGAAGGUAAUCAAGAAGGCGCUCGUGACGGACGACGAGGACAUUGACUGGGUGCAGACGGAGAAACACGUCUUCGAGACCGCUUCGAACCAUCCGUUCCUGGUUGGUUUACAUUCGUGCUUCCAGACGCCAUCGCGGCUGUUCUUCGUGAUUGAGUUUGUGCGUGGUGGAGAUCUGAUGUUUCACAUGCAGCGGCAGCGCCGCUUGCCCGAGGAGCACGCCCGCUUCUACGCGGCCGAGAUCAGUCUCGCACUCAACUUCCUGCACGAAAAGGGCAUCAUCUACCGCGAUUUGAAGCUGGACAACGUGCUGCUCGACCACGAGGGCCACAUCAAGCUGACCGAUUACGGCAUGUGCAAGGAGGGCAUCAGACCGGGCGACACGACGUCCACGUUCUGCGGAACGCCCAACUACAUCGCGCCGGAAAUAUUGCGCGGAGAGGACUACGGCUUUUCCGUCGAUUGGUGGGCGCUGGGUGUGUUGCUGUACGAGAUGCUGGCCGGGCGCAGUCCGUUCGACAUUGCUGGUGCUUCCGAGAACCCGGAUCAGAACACCGAAGACUAUCUGUUCCAGGUGAUUCUGGAGAAGACGAUCCGUAUACCGCGCUCGCUGAGCGUGAAGGCAGCAUCCGUGCUGAAAGGUUUCCUGAACAAAAAUCCGGCCGACCGUUUGGGCUGCAAUCGCGACUCCGCCUUCCUGGACAUUAUGAAUCAUUCGUUCUUCAAGAGCAUUGACUGGGAGAUGCUGGCUCAAAAGGAAGUGACACCACCGUACAUUCCCUCAUUCGAUGGGUGCGAUCAGGACAUAACCUGUCACUUCGAUCCGCAGUUUACGCGUGAACCGGCCGACCUGACACCCGACGAUCCUCGCGUCAUCGACAAGAUCGAUCAAUCCGAGUUCGAAGGAUUCGAGUAUGUGAACCCGUUGCUGAUGUCGUUGGAAGACUGCGUUUGACAUCACGCAUCCUGCGAGCUGCAUCCGUACAACAUGCAGUUUUGAGUGCAGAGAAAAUCAGAAUCAUUUCGGUACACUAGCUAGCGCAGAACGGAAUCUGCUGAAGCGGAAUCUCACCAACCAACCAGCAACAAUCGCAAAGCUGAACAAAUUUUCAAAGCUUCUAUACAAUUUUGCGUUAAAGUGUGCUACACUAGUUACAUUAGAAGAAGGUUCUAAAUCUUAGAAGAAAAACAAUUUGAAUUGUAAAACCAACCAUCUCGAAGCUUUUCGUUUGACUGACUGAUAAAGAUAGCUACUACUACCACUACUACUACUACUACUACUGCUACUACGACUAUACGGUGACGAUUCUAGCGAUUACGAUUCCGUUGUGGAUGAGCUAAGCAUCCUUCAAUUACCUCCGCCACCAUCGAAGAGUUUGCUGCAGCACAUGUUUUGCCUUCCAUUGAACUAGCCACAAGCGUUGUAGCCCUCUCCGUGCAACCAAUCUGCAAACUCUUAGCUGAGUGAGAACGACGGCACAGUGAUGACAGCGACUACCGGAGCAGAAGCAACCCUCUGUGUGACACUGUACUAAACCGACAGAAUCACUGCGCAACCUUAACCACGAGAACAGGAAUUACUUCAGCGAUGUGUUUGAUUUUUAGGAGUUAGCUAAAAUCGCGUUCUUAUAUUUUUUGAGUACUUUGCGCGGGAGAUGAAAAAUAGAUCCGGAUUAUUUGGUUUUGCGGUCAAAAUGAGAGAAAGAGUUGAUUUUUUUGUGGUCUGAGAAGUGUCUAUGUGUGCGUGUUUGCAUGAUGCGCAAGGGAAGCUAGAAAACAUUCCAUUCAUAAAUUAGUAGUUGAAGAAAUACAGCUAAUGAAUAAGAUAAUGAAACAUAGUAGCAGCAAAACUGAUUGCUGAUGAAACACAAACGCAAGCGCGCUGGUUCGAUGACGCUUAGAGGAAGUGCGUAUCAUUUCCUUCCUUUUCUCUCUCUCUCUCUCUCUCUCUCUCUCUCUCUCUCUCUUUCUCUCUCUUUAUCUCUCUGUACUAUCCAUUUCUGCAACCAUACCGAUGUCGUUAACCUAAAUCACAGUCCCAUUUUGUAACGUUUAUUAUCUAUGCUUUGUAUUUUGUAUUUGUAUUACAUUGAAGUGUUUUCGCUGCAAAGAAAGAUAGGAAGAAGUAUGAGUAACAAAAAAAAGUGAAACUACAACGGAAACGGAGUGCGAGCAGUGAUGAAACGAACACGAAUGCAUGAUCCGUGACUAAAAGGAAAAAGAAAAACCUUGUUCUAGAAUAACACAAGCCCAGAAUGGAAGCGGAAAAGCAGCAGAAACAAAACACUAAAACCUCUAGCAGACUAUGGACACUAAACAUAUUUAACAAGAACUUAUCAUACAAACGUAAAAGAGAGUUUCAAAUUCAAAACAUGAACCCCCCCAUACUAAAUCAAACAGUCGCCCUUGUGCAUCAUUGUAUUGCAAAAAACAAAGAACAAACAAAAGGAAGAAGUAACGAAUAAAAUCACAAUUGCUAUGUAGAAUUAUAGGAGGUUUUGCGAUAAACGACGAUGGAAUAGAGAAAAACAAACAAACAAACAAACAAUUUAAUGAUUCCGCUACUCCUUGCGCCAAGUUUGCGAUUAUUAGUAGCGCGUGUUGGCAACAUUUCCACGUGCAGGCGUUUUGUUUCUCUUUCUUCCUCACACUCUCUUUCUCCGAUGCAAAUGCGAUUCGUGUUCGGUUUUGUUUUUCGCGGAGAAAGUGCAUGACUACUGCGAACGAGCAUUAACCACUUAUUAUAAACGAGAAUAGUUAAAAUAACAAAUCAGAAGCAUGUUACAAAUGAUAAAAACAAAAAACAAAAAGCAAAACAAAAGUUAUACACAAUUGCACAGUAUCGUUAACAAAAGUAGUAGAAUGGUAACCAAACACACAGACAAAAUACAAACAAACAAACAAACAAACACACAUACAUAAACACACACCACGGCUCCAGCAAUUGAUCGUUAAUGUGCGGUUAAUGUUGAUUAAAGAGAAGAGAGAAAAACAGAAAACAAAGGUGUGAUAAAGGUGAACAGAUGAUGCUUAUGAGGGCAUAAAGAAAAUGGGUUGAAAAAUCAAAAUUGAUUCAAAGCACAGCUAACAAGCGCGCUGCUCAGCGAGAAUGGUGUUAUCUGUGAGGUGUAGAAGCUGAAGUGAAGCCACAAGCUAGAAACGGGGGUGUUUAGGUAACAAAUUUACUAUUAAGAAUUACUAUAACAAAAAGGGCGCUAAGAAGAGAAAGAAGGAAUGAGAAUGAGAGAAAGCAGGACACACACGCAGUGUAGGAUGGAGAAACAUAACAUCGGCUAACAGCGGCGUGCGUGCAGGAGCAGCUAACUACUAAUUAUCCUUCGUAAAGGCAAAAUGCAUUAAGGAAAGGAAAGAAGAAAAUUUUAAAAAUUUUAGACAAAAUUAAAAGAAAAUGCGUUGAAAGCAUGUAAUAGUGCAGGCUGCAGAGUAAUGUUCAGAUUCACACGAACUGCUGCUCACGAGAGAGAAUGUAAAAGAGGGGAGGGAAACGAAACAGCUCGAUCCUAUUCCGGUAUGGUACUGGUGUGUUGGCGGGUGAAGCAGCCAGCAGCGUUCGUCGUAUUGUAGUAGUUGUGCCCGUUUUUUGUACAUGAGUUCCCUGUAUGAUGGCAGUAUAUGAUAGCAAAAAUUAUUGAAAUGAAUGCAACACAGAUAUAAAAAGCAAGCAAACAAACAAAAAUCCAAAAUUCGUAGUAGAAAAAAAAACGCACUGCAAACAAAACAGAAGAGAAAAAGGAAAAGCAAAAAAAAAACACAUUUAAAAGAAAAAAAUGCAAAACUCACUGAUAUAAGGAUAUAAAGUAUGAGGAGAUAAGCAGAAAGCAAAAGUAUUUCUCUUGAAGGGCUCUUUGGCACUUUGCAGCAGUGUUGGUUCCAACUGUAAAUCCUGAUUGUUUUUAAUGAGUGUUGUAGUUAUACUUCCCCGUUUGUUAAUUGUUUUGCAUUGCAAAAAAAAAAACAGCGAACUCGAAUUAGAUAAAAGAGCAGCAAAUCGGUGUAUCGGUUACGUCCUUCCAAUGCGAAUUGUUAUUAAAAAUCCUAUUGACUGUAUUCCCUAUUUCGUGUUCGUAACAAAGAGCUGACAGAGCCUGAAUAUUUAUCGUGACUUGUUUUAAAAACGGCUCUCCUACCCCCUCCAAAGGAGAGCAACGUUUUGCUGCAACGCAACCAAACUGAGACAAAGGUUUGCCGUAUUUUGAUAUAAUUGUUGUUGGUGAUAAUACGUACGAUUUUUGAAUCGUCAUUGUUUUUUUUUCUCAAAAUCUGUGUAAAAGAAUGUGUUUUUUUUUCUCUGCCUAAUAGAAACGAAAGCUAAUGGAUAGCGCCAGAUAAACCGAUCACGAGCAGCGAAGGGUGUAAAAGAAGUGAGGCGAAAACGACCCACUCAAAAGAGGGUAGAGAAAGCGAGCAAAGAGAGACCUAGAGACGACGUGAAAUGUGUAGUAAGACGGGUUUUUGAUUUGCAUUCGUUACUUAUUUGGUUCUUUUUUUUUUAACUUUCCGUUCCAUAAUAGGUACUUACGCUUGUACUUUUCUUACAUAUUUAACAAAUGAUUUCCUGUCGGGGUUAGCUCCGUUCUUUCAACGAGUACGACGCAUUACCAUUCUCAUGCAGCAGCAUUUUUUUGUCUUGUUCUUCAAAGUUUAGUUUUUAAUAAGUUACUUUUAUUACUAGCAACGAUAUGCAUACAUAUUAUAUUACAUAUAAAAAGCUACACAACCGAUUCAGUAUCCGACAUACAUGAUGUAUUUAAUAGUAUUUUUGCUUUUUGCGCACUUAGGGUAAAUAGUUUACUGUGUGUUUCUUUUUUUAUAGCAGCAAUUUUUGUAUUUUUUUGUAUUUCUUUUUAUCCAACCAUCUUCUUCUUCCCCGUUCUUAUCUCAACUUCCCCUGAAUGAGAUUGUGUGUGUUUGUUUUUUUCUUUUUUUUUUCUUUAAAACAUACCCUGUUUAGCCCAAAAAAUACGAUUAACUUAUAACUGAAACACACACACACACUAAUAACACAGGAGAAGAGAAACAGGCAGUAUCGAGGGAAUAAAACUUAAACUUAAAAGAAAAAAAAACAAAACAAAACAAAAGAACAGCAACAAACACAAGGAUCGCUGAAAUUGAAACUAUUUCAAAUAAAAAAUUAUAAAAUCAA